rfam:Selaginella moellendorffii unplaced genomic scaffold SELMOscaffold_97, whole genome shotgun sequence.
GGCCUUCUAGCUCAGUUGGUCAGAGCGUCGUGCUAAUAACGCGAAGGUCACAGGUUCGAGACCUGUGUGGGCCA